rnacentral:rRNA from 1 species
UACGUAGGGGGCUAGCGUUGUCCGGAAUCAUUGGGCGUAAAGAGCGUGUAGGCGGCCAUACAGGCUCGUUGUGAAAACUCGAGGCUCAACCUCGAGACGUCGAUGGAAACCGUAUGGCUAGAGUCCGGAAGAGGAGAGUGGAAUUCCUGGUGUAGCGGUGAAAUGCGCAGAUAUCAGGAAGAACACCCGUGGCUAAGGCGGCUCUCUAGUACGGUACUGACGCUGAGACGCGAAAGCGUGGGGAGCGAACAGG